UCCAAUAGCGUAUAUUAAAGUUGCUGCGUUUAAAAAGCUCGUAGUUGGAUCUCGGUUCCAGGCCUGCGGUCCGCCUCGAGGCGGAUACUGCUCGUCCUGUGUUCGACGUCGUGGUGGUCCCUUGGUGCUCUUGACUGAGUGUCUCGGGCGGUCCCGAACGUUUACUUUGAAAAAAUUAGAGUGCUCAAAGCAGGCGUAUCGCCUGAAUAAUUCCGCAUGGAAUAAUGGAAUAGGACCUCGGUUCCAGUUUCGUUGGUUUGCGAAUCCUUGAGGUAAUGAUUAAUAGGGACUGCCGGGGGCAUACGUAUUGCGGCGGGAGAGGUGAAAUUCGUGGAUCGCCGCAAGACGAACGACAGCGAAAGCAUUUGCCAAGAAUGUUCUCAUUAAUCAAGAACGAAAGUCAGAGGUUCGAAGACGAUCAGAUACCGUCGUAGUUCUGACCCUAAACGAUGCCGACCGUCGAUCCGCCGGAGUUACUACCAUGACUCGGCGGGAAGCCUCCGGGAAACCAAAGUCUUUGGGUUCCGGGGGGAGUAUGGUUGCAAAACUGAAACUUAAAGGAAUUGACGGAAG
rnacentral:rRNA from 1 species